rnacentral:rRNA from 1 species
UACGUAGGGUGCAAGCGUUGUCCGGAAUUAUUGGGCGUAAAGAGCUCGUAGGCGGUUUGUCGCGUCUGCUGUGAAAACUCGGGGCUUAACUCCGGGCCUGCAGUGGGUACGGGCAGACUAGAGUGCGGUAGGGGAGACUGGAAUUCCUGGUGUAGCGGUGAAAUGCGCAGAUAUCAGGAGGAACACCGGUGGCGAAGGCGGGUCUCUGGGCUGUAACUGACGCUGAGGAGCGAAAGCGUGGGUAGCGAACAGG